rnacentral:lncRNA from 1 species
UACAUUAACUUCAGAGAUAACAUUAUUAUUGAACAACUGAACAUUCACUCUUAAAUACCACUGUAAUCAGCUUGAAACAUAGAUUUGUCCACUAAAAGAAACAAAAUACACGUUCUAAACAUCCAUUCUUAAUAUUACAUCAACUCAAAACAGAAAAUUCAACCAUCUUAAAAUACAAAAGAAAACGUGACUCCAAUAUAUACACAUAGUGAUGGAUUUUCCCAAAACAACUUUCCAAUUCCAUCCAAUCACUUUUCAAUCUCCAACUCCUGUAAGGAAAAAAAAGCUAAAAGGGUGAGCUUACGCCCGUGAGGUUUCCAUGCAAGCAACAAUCAAUAAGCACUUAAAUCAGUAUAAUUAAGCAAGUAGUGCAGAUUUCACUGUACAAUCACUUUUAAAAGGAUACGGUAGCUCGCAUUAGAGCCACUUCAAUGCACUACAUACUCCACCAAACUCCUCCUUAUAACCUUCAAAAUAAUAAACACUUCCCUCACUUGGAUGGCCAUAUCAAUAUCAGUAAUCUGCUACUCCGUGGUAAUACUCGAGUAUACCGAACACUUACCCAAAGCUACCGUCCUACCUGACCAAGCCCUUUGCUGGCUCGAAUAGUCCGUUGAAUAGAGGGUUUUGGGGUCCAGUUCAGCCAGUGUGAUAAAGUACACACAUGGCUUACAGUCAUGCACACUUACAAUAUCACUUGAUCAAUUAUCAACCUUCAAACUCAACUAAACCGAGUGCGAUAAGGUACACUCUCGACUUAGAAGGCGAGGGACAAUUGAAAACACUUCACAAUGAAUCACUUAGCAAUAUUUCAUAAUAAGCACAUUUGCCAUAUAAUUGCACUUAGGUACACAUAAGCAGUUUAACACAUAAAUUCAGAAAACACUUACCAAAGAUUCAAAUGACUACUCUCAAGUCUCGAGUUGGUUUCCUGGUUCACGGCUACUUCCUGGUACAAGUUAAUAAUUCUAAAGUAAAUAUUCAUUUUAUACACAACCACUCAUCUUACAUACUUUAAGGUUUAAGUAACUAAAAUCCAAGUUCCUAAGCUUAUAAAACGAAUCACCAAAAUCUCGCAACCUUCCUUACGUUUGUCUUCAAGAUUAUUAAGUUUGGUAGCUUUAAAACAAGGUUAAUGUAUAUAUACACCAAAUUUUAUUAUCAUAUAAAACACUUGAGUUAAGAUUCACUCAUUUCCAAUCUAAUGUGCAAAGAUUAAGACAAGCAAACGUUUCAUUUCUUCCGUCUAGGCUAAAACAGAUUCCAGUUUGACUUUAAAGUACAAAUAUAAUAUAUUCAAUAUUCAUUUAUCAUUUUAUUUUGAAACUUAUUGACUUUAUUGUUUUAAUCAAGAAUUAUACCUGUUUUCCCAAGUUAAUAAUUUAUAAGAUAUUUAUUUUAGAAUUAAAUCAUUUUCCAUUCAAGAUUCUAAGAUUGUGGUUUAGGAGUACUUCAUUGGUCCCCCUUUUUAAUUAAUUAAACUCUAGGUUAUUUGUAAGUUGAAUUUUAUUCUACUACACCAGUCCCUCAAAUUUUAUAGUCUUUAAAAUAUUUGUGAAGACAAUAUUAAGUAAUUAGAAGCCAAUUUAGGUACAUAAUUAUCAUGAGUUUUCCUCUCAUUUGCUUUAGUUUAACUCUACUUGUGGAGCUGUAUAUAGCCAUUAAAUCUCAGGGUAACCGUAGCUAUCAUUUAUGAAAGCUUACGAAGUUGGAAAUUAGAGGAAAUACUGGUUCGAAGUUGGUUCCUCAUGGCCAUUAUCAAAGCAAAGUGCAUUCGGGAACAAAAGGAAAGGCAAGGAGAAAGGCAGCUUUGCCAUCCUCAGGUAUUCUGAUCAUAACUGGAGCUAUACUUAUCGGAUUGAGGUAAAUUUUAUAGCGUUUCGAAGCUAAGACAUAGAUCUAUAUUUCUUCUGAAGACAUCGACAUCCAGUUAUCGCGUUUUCAAGGCCAAAAGGGGACGGUCAGAAGCACAAUCUGUUUCAUUUUCUCGGACAGCAACCAAAACUAGUAACGCUACUUCAAGCUUUCGACGAAAACUCUAUUCUUUCACUUGCUUAAAGCUCUAAAUAUUUAAAGUACAUUUAGUCCAGCAUAUACCAAGGCAAAUAACAUCUAGUUUCAACAAAUUAUUCAACCCAAAAGCUACGCACAACAAUCUGUCAUCAGCUAUUGCAUUGUAUAACUAAAGUUUCCAGCAGAGUAGCAGUUUAAUAUGUAACAUUUACCAUAACUCCUUCAGUUUUAACUCCAGCUCAUCAUAUUAAAGAUGAUUCUCCAGCUACAGAGUAAUCUUGAUCAUCAAUAUAAAAAUUUACAGCCAAAAAGCUGAUCUAAAGUGUAUUUCUCUCUCUUGGUCAUGCUGGAACAAUUUUUUUUGUAUAGCAAUCAGCUUUUAAGCAAGAACUCUCUCAUUAACUACUUCAUUUCCUACUCCAAUAUAACAUGCAAUCACCUAAACACUGAAGUGAAAACAUGCAUGCUAAAACUAAAAGAUUAUGCAAGGUAUUCAGCUUCAACGUAGGAAUUUGGAACCCAGAAAUCUGUCAAGAAAUCUGGAAAAUUUUCUUUCUUCAUCUCUCGGCUAGCUAGACAGAACCACCAGUUAAUUCUUGCAAAAAUUCUCACUCAACUAUCAUCUUUGCUCUGGAUUCUCAGAUAAAACAAGAGAGUAAACAUAUAGCUUAACUCCUAGAAGAAAAUUUCCUCCAUAAAUUCGAAUACUAAGCUGCAAACCUGCUCUUUUCCUCGGCCAUAGCAGAAUUUUCUUUCCAGCAAAUGGUCAAUCAUUAAUCAAGAUUUCUUCAACCAAACUCACUUUUCUUAGCUAAAAUCUAACAUGCAACUUGAAUAAUCAGAGAUAUUAGAAGAAUAAGAUGGUUAUGAUGAUUUUACCUCCCUUUUUCCUCACAAUCAAAGCUGGAAAAGAAGAAAAAAGCAAGCAGUCCCCUUCCUCCUUCUCCUCCUUCGAUUCCUUAUGGUGAAAUGCUCCCAAGCUUCCCCCUUUUUUCUACCUUGCCCUCUUAUUCACUCGGUUGUGGCUGGAAAGGAAAGAAUGGAACCAGAAAUCUCUCUCUCUCUCACUCUCUCGGUUGGUCUUGAAGUCAGGCAAGAAAAUGAGCUAAGUCCUCACUUUUCUCUCGGUUGUUCUUCUUUGCUCUUAGCAAAUUGAUA